GUGCCAGCAGCCGCGGUAAUACGUAGGGUGCAAGCGUUGUCCGGAAUUAUUGGGCGUAAAGAGCUCGUAGGCGGUUUGUCGCGUCUGCUGUGAAAACUGGAGGCUCAACCUCCAGCCUGCAGUGGGUACGGGCAGACUAGAGUGCGGUAGGGGAGAUUGGAAUUCCUGGUGUAGCGGUGGAAUGCGCAGAUAUCAGGAGGAACACCGAUGGCGAAGGCAGAUCUCUGGGCCGUAACUGACGCUGAGGAGCGAAAGCGUGGGGAGCGAACAGGAUUAGAUACCCUGGUAGUCC
rnacentral:rRNA from 1 species